rnacentral:rRNA from 1 species
GGGUGGAUCAGUGGCGAACGGGUGAGUAACACGUGAGCAACCUGCCCUCCACUUCGGGAUAAGCCUUGGAAACGAGGUCUAAUACCGGAUACGAGCACUUACCGCAUGGUGGGUGUUGGAAAGUUUUUCGGUGGGGGAUGGGCUCGCGGCCUAUCAGCUUGUUGGUGGGGUAAUGGCCUACCAAGGCGUCGACGGGUAGCCGGCCUGAGAGGGCGACCGGCCACACUGGGACUGAGACACGGCCCAGACUCCUACGGGAGGCAGCAGUGGGGAAUAUUGCACAAUGGGCGAAAGCCUGAUGCAGCGACGCCACGUGAGGGAUGACGGCCUUCGGGUUGUAAACCUCUUUCAGCAGGGAAGAAGCGCAAGUGACGGUACCUGCAGAAGAAGCGCCGGCUAACUACGUGCCAGCAGCCGCGGUAAUACGUAGGGCGCAAGCGUUGUCCGGAAUUAUUGGGCGUAAAGAGCUCGUAGGCGGUCUGUCGCGUCUGGUGUGAAAUCCCAUGGCUCAACCAUGGGCUUGCAUCGGGUACGGGCAGACUAGAGUGCUGUAGGGGAGACUGGAAUUCCUGGUGUAGCGGUGGAAUGCGCAGAUAUCAGGAGGAACACCGAUGGCGAAGGCAGGUCUCUGGGCAGUUACUGACGCUGAGG